rnacentral:rRNA from 1 species
GAGUUUGAUCGUGGCUCAGGAUGAACGCUGGCGGCGUGCCUAAUACAUGCAAGUAGAACGCUGAAGCUUGGUGCUUGCACCGAGCGGAUGAGUUGCGAACGGGUGAGUAACGCGUAGGUAACCUGCCUGGUAGCGGGGGAUAACUAUUGGAAACGAUAGCUAAUACCGCAUAACAGUAGAUAUUGCAUGAUAUCUGCUUGAAAGGUGCAAUUGCAUCACUACCAGAUGGACCUGCGUUGUAUUAGCUAGUUGGUGAGGUAACGGCUCACCAAGGCGACGAUACAUAGCCGACCUGAGAGGGUGAUCGGCCACACUGGGACUGAGACACGGCCCAGACUCCUACGGGAGGCAGCAGUAGGGAAUCUUCGGCAAUGGGGGAACCCGUGACCGAGCAACGCCGCGUGAGUGAAGAAGGUUUUCGGAUCGUAAAGCUCUGUUGUAAGAGAAGAACGAGUGUGAGAGUGGAAAGUUCACACUGUGACGGUAUCUUACC